UAGGGAAUCUUCGGCAAUGGGGGGAACCCUGACCGAGCAACGCCGCGUGAGUGAAGAAGGUUUUCGGAUCGUAAAGCUCUGUUGUUAAGGAAGAACGAGUGUGAGAAUGGAAAGUUCAUGCUGUGACGGUACUUAACCAGAAAGGGACGGCUAACUACGUGCCAGCAGCCGCGGUAAUACGUAGGUCCCGAGCGUUGUCCGGAUUUAUUGGGCGUAAAGCGAGCGCAGGCGGUUAGAUAAGUCUGAAGUUAAAGGCAGUGGCUCAACCAUUGUAGGCUUUGGAAACUGUUUAACUUGAGUGCAGAAGGGGAGAGUGGAAUUCCAUGUGUAGCGGUGAAAUGCGUAGAUAUAUGGAGGAACACCGGUGGCGAAAGCGGCUCUCUGGUCUGUAACUGACGCUGAGGCUCGAAAGCGUGGGAAGCGAACAGG
rnacentral:rRNA from 1 species